rnacentral:lncRNA from 1 species
AGCUGGGUGCUCCUCGCCGUCUGGAGCUGCUUUCCGUGCCCUGCCGCGGCGGUGUCUCGUGCUGCUCAGCCCCAAAGUUCACAGCCUCCCUGUCUGCUGGCAACCCAGAAGGAUGUACGAAGCUGCUGGAAACGAGCAGAGCCAAGAGGAUGAGAAUGGAGUUUCACUUUGGGUCUCACCUGGGAUUGCAUCCUGCAAACAGGAGGUGCUUCUCCUCUGCCUGGAAGAAGAGCGUGAGCAGAGAAGGAUGAGGAAGCGAGUGAGGAUCAGCCCUUCCCGCUGGAGCAGGGCUUU